rnacentral:lncRNA from 1 species
GAUCAUUGAUGCAAACCUCACCAACAUAAGCUGAGACCCAGAUUGAGUUUGAUUUUUGAAAUCCCCAAAUCAUUCGACCAACCCUAGAUCAGUUGCUUCACUUGCUUGGUUGAAGUGGUUUCUCAGAGACUUAUACGGUGUUCAAUUGGUGUUUCCGAGCACAAAUAAUUCGGAAAGUCCUUUGAAGCUUGAAGGUAUUGACCAUGUAUUUCAGUUGAGGCUUUAUCAGUUUAUCCUGAGGCAGGGAGGUGAUCGAGGUCUUUGAUUAGGUAACUAAACGUCUAAACUUGUGUGUGCUUGGUUGGGUUUUGAUUCUUUGAACUUAAAGUAUCUGCUUGUGACUUUGUGUAUGGGUGUUUAUGAUUAUUUGAACAUGAAGUUUCUAUUCUACUUAAACUGCUGCGCUGCAUUUGAGAGGUGCGAACUCGUCUACGACAAGUACUGCUUGAAGAUUUGGAUGGUGUAAACAUUCAGAUCGAAGAUAUAGCUGCUGUGCAUUUUUUGGUCAAGUCUUUGGAGUCUACUUGAAGAUUUGGAUACAGCUGCUGUGUUUUUUGUUUUGUUUGUUUAGUCUUUGGAACACUCAAAUCACUUGCAGCUUUUUGUUUAUUUCAAUUUGAGCUUCUGUAAUAUUCAUUGUUUAUUUCAAUUUGAGGUUCUGUAAUAUUCAAUAACUUUUAGACAACGUGACAUACACUUGAUGAAGAUGUAUUAUUCAGGAAAUUGUAGAGGUAAGUAUGUAUGUAAUAGCUUUUAUGUAUUUGGUAAAAACUGAACAGGAAAAAUGGUCUAAAAACAGCCCAGAAUGGGUGAUU